AUUGAACGCUGGCGGCAGGCCUAACACAUGCAAGUCGAGCGGAUGAAGGGAGCUUGCUCCUGGAUUCAGCGGCGGACGGGUGAGUAAUGCCUAGGAAUCUGCCUGGUAGUGGGGGAUAACGUCCGGAAACGGGCGCUAAUAACGCAUACGUCCUGAGGGAGAAAGUGGGGGAUCUUCGGACCUCACGCUAUCAGAUGAGCCUAGGUCGGAUUAGCUAGUUGGUGGGGUAAAGGCCUACCAAGGCGACGAUCCGUAACUGGUCUGAGAGGAUGAUCAGUCACACUGGAACUGAGACACGGUCCAGACUCCUACGGGAGGCAGCAGUGGGGAAUAUUGGACAAUGGGCGAAAGCCUGAUCCAGCCAUGCCGCGUGUGUGAAGAAGGUCUUCGGAUUGUAAAGCACUUUAAGUUGGGAGGAAGGGCAGUAAGUUAAUACCUUGCUGUUUUGACGUUAUCAACAGAAUAAGCACCGGCUAACUUCGUG
rnacentral:rRNA from 1 species